AUACGCAACCUGUCAUGAACAUGCAUUUUAUCGAGAUGGAAAGUUUGCAAACAAGAAAACUCCACAAAAAAAAUUGUCUAAAAAUUGCAGCACCAAAUGCGCUCUACUGAACUGACAGC
ensembl:ncRNA F27C1.16 ncRNA